rfam:Myotis brandtii contig298182, whole genome shotgun sequence.
AAAAUUCUAGAGUUAAAAUACAAGAACUAAAACAAAAAUUCAAGAAUAAACUUAUACCCCAUAUACACCUCAGCUCAGGCCCUUUGCCUGGUUUGUAUUGUGAGUGGGGGGACAUUA